AAGAUUGAAGAAAUUGUAAAAAUGUAUUAUAUUUAAAAUUGUCAGCAAUGACUAUGGUAAUAAAUGUCGCUUAUAAUAGGCGUUUUGGACUCGGGGGCGGUACCCGACGCCUCCACCAUUAAAAUUAUGGGGGCGAACUAGCUUCGACAGGCGUUAAAAAAGGUAGAUUUUACCCGGUAUGAUACCACCGAUUAUGGGUCAAAAUAGUAAAUGCAAACGAUAAUUUUGCUAGCAAUGAAAGAUUCGCUCCUAUGGCUCUAGCAGCUUAAGUGUGAAUUAAUCAUUAGCGGUUUGGGGGCUACCGGGCAACAGAAAGCCCCUUCU
rnacentral:tmRNA from 1 species